CGUAGGGUGCGAGCGUUGUCCGGAAUUAUUGGGCGUAAAGAGCUUGUAGGCGGUUAGUCGCGUCGGAAGUGAAAACUCGGGCCUUAAUCCCGAGCUUGCUUCCGAUACGGGCUGACUAGAGGAAGGUAGGGGAGAAUGGAAUUCCUGGUGGAGCGGUGGAAUGCGCAGAUAUCAGGAGGAACACCAGUGGCGUAGGCGGUUCUCUGGACCUUUCCUGACGCUGAGAAGCGAAAGCGUGGGGAGCAAACAGGCUUAGAUACCCUGGUAGUCCCU
rnacentral:rRNA from 1 species